rnacentral:rRNA from 1 species
GACGAGGGGUCCAAGCGUUGUUCGGAAUCAUUGGGCGUAAAGCGGGUGUAGGUGGCUUUGUAAGUCAGGAGUGAAAUCCCCGAGCUUAACUUGGGAAGUGCUUUUGAAACUGCAAAGCUUGAGUGUGGGAGAGAAUCGUGGAAUUCCAGGUGUAGUGGUGAAAUACGUAGAUAUCUGGAGGAACACCGGUGGCGAAGGCGGCGAUCUGGCCCAACACUGACACUGAGACCCGAAAGCGUGGGGAUCAAACAGG